rnacentral:rRNA from 1 species
UACGUAGGGUGCAGGCGUUAAUCGGAAUUACUGGGCGUAAAGCGUGCGUAGGCGGGUCUUUAAGUCAGGGGUGAAAUCCUGGAGCUCAACUCCAGAACUGCCUUUGAUACUGAGGAUCUUGAGUUCGGGAGAGGUGAGUGGAACUGCGAGUGUAGCGGUGAAAUGCGUAGAUAUCUGGAGGAACACCGGUGGCGAAGGCGGCAUCCUGGACCGGUAUUGACGCUGAGGCGCGAAAGCCAGGGGAGCAAACGGG